rnacentral:tRNA from 4 species
GGGCUGUUAGCUCAGCUGGUAGAGCAGCGGACUCUUAAUCCGUAGGUCGAGUGUUCGAGCCACUCACAGCCCACCA